UAACCGUUUGGUACUAAAAAGCAUUGCUUUCUUCCUAUUAUUUACCGAUUCCAUCAGUGGGUUCUAUUACCCCCCAGCAUUGGUUACCGAAAAAGUUACCGAUUAUCAGGAGUUUGUCAAAAAUGUUACUGAAACCAGUAUUGCACUCCAUAUACUCGAACACACUGUUACACCGUACGAUGUGAAUCCCGACCAGUUAAAGCUCAUAGGACGGUAUGUUUUCCUCGCACCGCAGGAAAAUAACAUCUAUUUGGUGGGGUUCGAGGAAACAAUCGACAAAUCCGAUGCAGCGAAAAGGAUCAUCAGUGAGUUGGUUAGCAAAAAUUCGGUUACAAGCAUCUACAAAACUCAACGUGCGAAUGCUUUGAAGGUGGAAAAAUUCCUCACGAUUGGAUAAAAGUCUCUAAAAUAGUAACAAAACAAAAUGAAAUAUAUGUUCU